AUUGAACGAUGGCGGCAGGCCUAACACAUGCAAGUCGAACGAGUGGCGGAGGGGUGAGUAAGGUCUGGGAAACUGCCUGAUGGAGGGGGAUAACUACUGGAAACGGUAGCUAAUACCGCAUACCAUGAGAUGUGCCCACAUGGGAUUAUCUAGUUGGUGGGGUAACGGCUCCCCAAGGCGACUAUCCCUAGCUGGUCUGAGAGGAUGACCAGCCACACUCGGACUGAGACACGGUCCAGACUCCUACGGUCGGCGGCAGUGGGGAAUGUUGCUCAGUGGGCGAAAGUUUGAUCCAGCCAUGCAGGGUGUUUUGAGAAGGGCUUCGGAUUGUUUGGUACUUCCACCGGGGAGACGUGACCCGCAGACGUAGCCCCGGCUUACGCCGUGCCAGCAGCCGCGGUAAUAC
rnacentral:rRNA from 1 species